CUGAUUUCUGAGGACCUAAGAUUGCAUCUACCUUGACAUCUUUCAGCAAAUUGAGACCUGCAACAAGGCAAACAAUGUUGGUAAGUUCUCUUUAAAUUGGCAAGAGCUUCUCUUUCCCAUGUCAGUUAGCAAUCCGGCGUAGGUGCUUAAUAUGCAAUAGUGUUUACCAGCAGCAGCAGCUUCAAUGGCUUGUUCUUGAGAGUCCCUAACAUGAAGAGACAGCCUCGUCGAGUAGUUGCUGUGAAUUGAAUAGAAAUCAGAGAGGGCAAUGGACAUGCAGCUUAGACCCAUGCUUCCGACCACCGACUUCAAAUCAAGAAUCACUCCCAAAGUAGUUGCUGUGAAUCGAAUAGAAAUCAGAGAGGGCAAUGGACAUGCAGCUUAGACCCAUGCUUCCGACCACCGACUUCAAAUCAAGAAUCACUCCCACUUGGAAGUUAGAAGUGCGAUUAUGGACGCUCCUUUGUGAAUUGCUGAAAGUGGAACACAACCAGAGUGAGGCACAGAAUAGUAGGAUCAGUUUCAUCUCCUUCCAAUACCUGAAUUGGUAGGUCGAGACGUUUCAAUCUACUCCAUAUAAUAUCACAAAUUAUCAAUCUUCUGUGUUCGGGGGUUGGUUGUGUUAGUUGACUAAAAGUCCAAGCUUGGUUUCAAUAUUCUAAUGUGAAGAUACCUUACAGUUGAUUCUUUCCUUUUUAAAAUGUAUUGCUAAUAAGUAUACUUCUGUAAAAUUAAAUCAUAGGAAAAGAAAUAUUUUAGAGACUCGGAUAAAGUUACUGCCAUGUGACCGGAAAGCAACGUUCAACCUAUGGAAACAUCCUCUUGCAGAAAUGCAGGGU
rnacentral:lncRNA from 1 species